rnacentral:rRNA from 1 species
GGGGAAUUUUCCGCAAUGGGCGAAAGCCUGACGGAGCAAUACCGCGUGAGGGAGGAAGGCUCUUGGGUCGUAAACCUCUUUUCUCAGGGAAGAACACAAUGACGGUACCUGAGGAAUAAGCAUCGGCUAACUCCGUGCCAGCAGCCGCGGUAAUACGGAGGAUGCAAGCGUUAUCCGGAAUGAUUGGGCGUAAAGCGUCCGCAGGUGGCUGUGUAAGUCUGCUGUUAAAGAGUCUAGCUCAACUAGAUAAGAGCAGUGGAAACUACACGGCUAGAGUACGUUCGGGGCAGAGGGAAUUCCUGGUGUAGCGGUGAAAUGCGUAGAGAUCAGGAAGAACACCGGUGGCGAAGGCGCUCUGCUAGGCCGUAACUGACACUGAGGGACGAAAGCUAGGGGAGCGAAUGGGAUUAGAUACCCCAGUAGUCCUAGCCGUAAACGAUGGAUACUAGGCGUGGCUUGUAUCGACCCGAGCCGUGCUGUAGCUAACGCUUAAGUAUCCCGCCUGGGGAGUACGCCGGCAACGGUGAAACUCAAAGGAAUUGACGGGGGCCCGCACAAGCGGUGGAGUAUGUGGUUUAAUUCGAUGCAACGCGAAGAACCUUACCAAGGCUUGACAUGUCGCGAAUCCUGGUGAAAGCUGGGAGUGCCUUCGGGAGCGCGAACACAGGUGGUGCAUGGCUGUCGUCAGCUCGUGUCGUGAGAUGUUGGGUUAAGUCCCGCAACGAGCGCAACCCUCGUUUUUAGUUGCCAGCAUUAAGUUGGGCACUCUAGAGAGACUGCCGGUGACGAACCGGAGGAAGGUGGGGAUGACGUCAAGUCAGCAUGCCCCUUACGCCUUGGGCUACACACGUACUACAAUGCUCCGGACAGAGGGUAGCAAGCCAGCGAUGGCAAGCAAAUCCCGUAAACCGGAGCUCAGUUCAGACCGCAGGCUGCAACUCGCCUGCGUGAAGGAGGAAUCGCUAGUAAUUGCAGGUCAGCAUACUGCAGUGAAUUCGUUCCCGGGCCUUGUACACACCGCCCGUCACACCAUGGAAGCUGGUAGUGCCCGAAGUCAUUACUCCAACCUUUCGGGGAGGAGGAUGCCUAAGGCAGGACUGGUGACUGGGGUGAAGUCGUAACAAGGUAGCCGUACCGGAAGGUGUGGCUGGAUCACCUCCUU